rnacentral:rRNA from 1 species
UACGUAGGGGGCUAGCGUUGUCCGGAUUUAUUGGGCGUAAAGAGCGUGUAGGCGGCCAGGUAGGUCUGCUGUGAAAACUCGAGGCUCAACCUCGAGACGUCGGCGGAAACCAUCUGGCUAGAGUCCGGGAGAGGAGAGUGGAAUUCCUGGUGUAGCGGUGAAAUGCGCAGAUAUCAGGAAGAACACCCGUGGCGAAAGCGGCUCUCUGGAACGGUACUGACGCUGAGACGCGAAAGCUAGGGGAGCAAACGGG